rnacentral:tRNA from 1 species
UCCGAUAUGGUCUAGUGGCUAGGAUACCUGGCUCUCACCCAGGAGGCUCGGGUUCG